rnacentral:rRNA from 1 species
GAUGAACGCUGGCGGCGUGCCUAAUACAUGCAAGUCGAGCGAACAGAUGAGGAGCUUGCUCCUCUGACGUUAGCGGCGGACGGGUGAGUAACACGUGGAUAACCUACCUAUAAGACUGGGAUAACUUCGGGAAACCGGAGCUAAUACCGGAUAAUAUAUUGAACCGCAUGGUUCAAUAGUGAAAGACGGUUUUGCUGUCUCUUAUAGAUGGAUCCGCGCCGCAUUAGCUAGUUGGUAAGGUAAAGGCUUACCAAGGCAACGAUGCGUAGCCGACCUGAGAGGGUGAUCGGCCACAUUGGAACUGAAACACGGACCAUACUCCUACGGGAGGCAGCAGUAGGGAAUCGUCCGCAAUGGUCGAAAGCCUGACGGAGCAACGCCGCGUGAGUGAUGAAGGUCUUCGGAUCGUAAAGCUCUGUUAUUAGGGAAGAACAAAUGUGUAAGUAACUAUACACGUCUUGACGGUACCUAAUCAGAAAGCCACGGCUAACUACGUG